rnacentral:rRNA from 1 species
AUGGCCUACUUCGGAUGUCUCUGCACCAAGCAACAGGCUGCCCGCUACCUCUACUGGGCCGACGCCAAUCUCAGCCUGGCCGUCAUGCUCGUCCAACAUGAUCAAUACUAUGCGGAGGCGGAGGCACUGGACCCUGAAUCCGACAGGACGCAGGCCGCCCUGGAGUGGGCGGCCACCAUGGCCGGUCACCCUUCCCCCAGCGUUUUGACCAAGCUCAUGUCAUCCCGGCUCAAAGAGGACGACUUUCACCUUCUGGAGAAGCAACUCUUUUCAGCAGCAGAUGCCCCUCUUAACGCAGAUGAUGUCGGAGAAAUCGACCGCAUAUUGCGCGUGAUUAUGAGCCCGCCCUGUGUUGCCACCAUAAUCAAUACCAGAAAAGGGCCGAUUCUCCAUGUCCGUAAGAACCUCGACGCCGUGUGCUCGACCACCCCCGUCACUACAGAGGACAUCAGGAUCACCUCCACAGCCCUCUGUUGGGACGGAAAACCCAUCUCGUCGCUGCAGUGCGGACUGCCUGACAAGCUGCAACGUUGCCUGGGAAGAGCAGAUGGUCUGGAACAAUAUUUGAAGACGACCCCGUGCAGCAGUGACACCUGCGAUUACCUGCAAACUCUAAAGAUGCGCCUCCACGAUAUGAUUCACAACUUCUGCAUCAAGGCGCUCAAGCUGCUUCCCACACCAUCCGGCUCACUCAUGCGCGGCUUCCUCAUGGCCGGCCACUGCUAUGGCUCCAUGGACCCUGUCUCCAACAUCAUCGUCAACUUCAUCUGGUACAACAGCCACAGCUGCCCUCUCCCAGAGUCUGAACGCAGCAAGAUUGAGAAAUACAAUGACAUCCUGGUCCCCCAUUCUCUGCUCCGCACACAGGUUCACUCUCUCAAGGGCCUUAUGGAGCUUGCCGCAUUCGCCGGACCCCAGUUCUCAACAGAGGCUUGUGCUCUGGAGUUGCUCUGCGGUGCAAGAUGUGACAUCGUUGACAUGUUGCCAUCAUCGCCACAGAUGCUUGAAAAGAAGAACCUCUUCCAUGAAGCUGCCAAGGCCGCUGGACACCCUCUACCGCUUCAGCUGGGUGAACUGCACAGGCUGCUGCUGCUGAUGCCUGAUGAGUGA